UUGAAACCUGUGGAUGCUAUAUGAUAUUCUCAAGCUCCAUCAAGAAUUUCUUCUUCUUCUUCUUCUUCUUCUUUCUUUCUUCUUUUUUUCCGCUGCUAUGUGAAGUUGAAACUGCUCCCACCACCACCAUUAGCCUAUUAGUCACCAUCUACAGACUACAGUAACGGGAAAGUAGUCCCUGACCGAAAGCCAACUCAGUUCCAUUCAUUUUCUCAAGUUCUGACACAUCAAAGUCAACUCAUACUUACAACUCUAAAUCUAAUCUCCACCAUAAAUUCCCUUUCCCUUCCACCCAAAUGCCCAACUGCACCCACCACUGCCAUCUUCCAUUCCUUUUAACCAUAUCUCUAAAUCUUCCUUUUUCCUCCUCCCUAGUAGUUUUAGCAUAUAUGUAUCUUACUUUCCUAUUGAUUCUUGAAGGAAUACCCAAAAGUAAGCAGAUGUAAGGAAUAAAAAGUAAAGGAAAAAAGAAAAGAUGCCACCUAGUUUAAAAGGUUAUGGUUAAUAGUUAUGACACAUCGCUUUGUGGCCAAGGCCGCCACCAGAUAUGUCCUACCAUGGAUGUGUGGCAGUGGCAGUGGCAGUGUUUAUAGAUCUCACCAGUAGAGUUGAAUUAGAGAAAGAACAAGCUGAGUAGGCUGCCAGAGAUUAAGGAAAGGAAAGAGGCAACAUCUGUACGUGUAAUAUGUGUGGAUCCAACGUGGAUGGCUAAUCUUUGAUAUAUAAGGUCCGCCACCGCCAGCAAAUUUCUUCAAUAACUUUACUGAAACUGCGCUGCCUUUGUUAGAAACAAAAACUAAUGUUUGUUGUAUUCAAUUCAAAACUGAUAAUGAUAUUCUCGAAAAAAAUCAGCCGUCGUUUUAGCUGUAGA